rnacentral:miRNA from 1 species
AAUGGUCUAGUGAGGGCACCG